AUGGAUACUCUGUUCGGUGCUACUGCUGGCCAUGUCGAGGGGAGGGAGGUCGUGGAUCCAGUCGUCCUUGGCGUUGUCGUCUGCCUUGAGCGAAUCCAGCCGGAUCCAAUCGUCCUUGCAGGUGGUGAAUCCAGCCGGAGUCACAGAGGCCCCCUCCGCCGCCGCAGGCGAGCUGCUGGUCCUGCAGCGCCGCGCUGGUCGCUGUGCAGGUGGGCGGAUGGGAGCAGAGCCGCGGCGCCGCAGCUGCUGUGUGGGCAUCGACCCCCCUCCCCCACAAGCUUGCUCACCUCAUCGCCGCGCCGCCGCAGCAGGGAGUGGGUGAGCGAGGGGAAUGGGAUAGGAGACGCUGACGAGAGGGAGGCGGGGACGACGCCAACGAGAGGGGGGGGCGCCGACGCCGACAAGAGGGGGGCGCAAACGACGCCGGCGAGAGGAAUGGAGGCAAGCGAGCAGGAAAAUGAUGACAGUGACAUAGAAUUGGGGGCAAAGGAUCGUUUGUUGGACCAGGAAAUAAUACAAAAACGUUGGGCCCAAAAUCACCGCUCGACCCAACGACAAACCUCCGCCGCUGCCAUUUCCAAAGUUUUAAAAGUAACAAGAUGCGCACUAAAAAAAUGGGCCUCCAAACGAUCACCAGCACACCAUCGCGAGGUAGCUGCAAAACAAAUCAUCAAUCUUAUUGAUCUAAAAGAAGAGCUCAGCACACUGGACUCUUCCUUCACAAAUGAAGAAAUAAAAGACGCGUUCCUCCAAGUGAACCCUCUCGCUAGCCCUGGACCAGAUGGCUUCGGUCCGCAGUUCUAUAGAAAAUAUUGGAACAUCGUCAAGGCUCAUAUCAACUCCUUCAUGACAGAUUUACAAAACCUAACUGCUCAAACUGAAUGCUUAAACAGAGCCCACCUAAUACUGCCACCCAAAAAAGACCAUGCAAACACACCCGACGCCUACCGUCCGAUCUCCCUCCAGAAUUGCCCCAUCAAAGCCAUCACAAAGGCUGGCGUGCCAAAAUCCUCUUCAAAGGGGAUAGGUUCAUCCUACUCUGCUGUCCUCGACUCCAUCUUGGUCCAUUUCAUGUCUGUCUUCCUCAUCCCAAAAGAUUUUCAGCUGUCGACAGGACCGGAUGAGCGCUACCUGAACGGUGGCCUACGCUUCUCCACGAGGGCCGCAUAUGCGCUGACCAUGGGCGGCGACGACAACGAUGAUGUGCAUGCCCUGUGGAUGCGGAUCCUGAGGGAGUUAACUAGGGAAUUUAUCCGAACUUUGAGCGUAACUAUAGGGCUGAUGAGGAAGAGGAGGAAGAUGCAGCGUAGCGGUCGACGCGGGCGCCACGCCGGGCGCCUCCGGCAUGGAGUUGAAGUGGCAUCGAACGCCUUCGUGCUCCGGUUAACCGCGGCGCACUCGGUGUACAUGUCCAGAAGCCUGUUGUCGAUGACGCCCUUGGCCUUGCCCACCUGCCAUUUUUAG
rnacentral:rRNA from 1 species